GGCUACAACACUUCACUACUUUGCAUGCCGCUAUCACAGUUGUUCUUUUUAGAAUAUGCUACACAUGCUUUUGAUUAAGUAGGGGAAGGAGUUUUACAAGGACCUGGACAAGGCUUGCUGGUCCGCAUAUUACACUAAGCUUGCUUGCUAUCUCACGGUUGAAUUUCGCGACCUAAAACUAUCUCAACCAGGGACUUAGCCCAUAUUUCCCUUCGGCUCAGAUUUUCUGCACAAACGAUGCAGGCGUGUCAAGGCUGAUCUUUCACGCAGGCUGCGUUUUCUCCAAAUCGACUUAGGGUGUUGAACUGCUUCAUGUUCUCCUUAGCGAUCCUCUUGCGAC
rnacentral:lncRNA from 1 species